UUCCGCCAGGAGCAUUGCUGGGUAGCUACGUCGGGAAGGGAUAAGCGCUGAAAGCAUAUAAGCGCGAAACCCACCACAAGAUGAGAUUUCUUUAAAGGGUCGUGGGAGACUACCACGUUGAUAGGUCAUAGGUGUAAGAGCAGUAAUGUUUGUAGCCGAGUGAUACUAAUAACCCGUAUAGCUUAUGUACA
rnacentral:rRNA from 1 species